CGGGAUGUGGCGCAGUCUGGUAGCGCGUACGGUUCGGGACCGUAAGGUCGGAGGUUCAAAUCCUCUCAUCCCGA
rfam:Desulfobacterales bacterium C00003106 5579_contig_44004.2, whole genome shotgun sequence.